rnacentral:rRNA from 1 species
CCUACGGGUGGCAGCAGUGAGGAAUAUUGGUCAAUGGGCGAGAGCCUGAACCAGCCAAGUCGCGUGAGGGAGUACUGCCCUAUGGGUUGUAAACCUCUUUUGUCGGGGAGCAAAAGCCGGACGUGUCCGGCUGUGAGAGUACCCGAAGAAAAAGCAUCGGCUAACUCCGUGCCAGCAGCCGCGGUAAUACGGAGGAUGCGAGCGUUAUCCGGAUGUAUUGGGUUUAAAGGGUGCGCAGGCGGAUUUUUAUGUCAGCGGUAAAAUCGUGGGGCUCAACCCCAUCCAGCCGUUGAAACUGGGGAUCUAGAGUGGGCGAGAGGUAUGCGGAAUGCGUGGUGUAGCGGUGAAAUGCAUAGAUAUCACGCAGAACCCCGAUUGCGAAGGCAGCAUACCGGUGCACAACUGACGCUCAGGCACGAAAGCGUGGGUAUCGAACAGGAUUAGAUACCCCAGUAGUC